GUGAAAACAGGAACACGAGGAUCUUGCACAGGACAUAUGCGCCCUUCGGAAGGAACAAGACCGGACUUCAGAGAAAAUCAACGCCUUAGUUGAGAGCCAAGAAAAAUUGAACAAAA